UGUGGCUAAGAAGAGAAAAGACCCAUAGAGAAGCUUCAAUAUGUAUAACAUUUACCGAAAAACUCAAUAUUUUCUUAGGGACUAACACAUAAAUUUUGUGAAAAAUUUAAAAAUAUGAUAAUCAUGUUUUAAUCCAUAGUUGCAUCAUGAUGAAAGUCAAAGAGGUUUGAAACCUUUGUUGUCUUCGUUUCUCUAGAAAAUAACAAUUUUAUAGUAGUUAGUCACCAAUUUAGAAAAUUUUAUGAAACUAUAAUAAAUUAAUAGAGAGUUUUAUGAAGCUACACUAAACUCUCUUUUUGAGUCUGGUUUUAUGAACCUUUGUUGUCUUCGUUUUUUUAGAGAAUAACAAUUUUAUAGUAGUUAGUCCACCAAUUUAGAAAGUAUUAUUGAGUUUUACUAAAUGAAUUGAUAAAAAAAAUUAAAACUAUGCCCAUGUACCAUGAAAGAGAGUUUAAUAUACCUUAAUAUAAAUAUAAAAUGAGUUUAGAAAUUUUAACACUAAAGAACAUAUGCUUCAGUAUAUAGAGCAUUUAUCGAAAAAUUCAAUAUUUUCAUAGGGGUUAACACAUUGAUUUUGAGAAAAAUUCAAAAAAUAUGACAAUAUUGUUUUAAUGUAUAGUUUCAUCCUACAUUAACAUAUGAUGAAGAUCAAAGAAGUUUGAAACCUUUGGUGUCUCUGUUUUUCUGAAGAAUAUCAAUUUUAUAGUGGUUAGUCCACCAAUUUAUGGAGUUUUAUGAAGCUAUAUUAAAUUAAUUGAUAAAAAUUAUAACGAUGCCCAUGCACCAUGAAAAAGAAUAUAUUAAUACAAAUGUAUAAUGUGCUUAUAAAAUUUAAAACAACACUAAUGAUCAUAGGUAUAUAGAGCAUUUACCGAAAAACUCAAUAUUUUCGUAGGGAUUAACACAUAGAUUUUGGAAAAAAAAUUCAAAAAUAUGAAAAUACUGUUUUAAUGCAUAGUUGCAUCCUACACUAAUACAUGAUAAAAAGAGGUUUGAAACUUUUGUUGUCUCCGUUUCUCUAGAUAAUAUCGAUUUUAUAGUGGUUAGUCCACCAAUUUAGAGAAUAUUAUGAAUUUUACUAAAUUAAUUGAUAAAAAAAUUAAAACGAUGUGCAUAUACCAUGAUAAGUAUACAUAACAUUUACCGAAAAACUCAAUAUUUUUAUAGAGGUUAAUACAUAGAUUUUCAGAAAAAUUAAAAAAUAUGACAAUACUAUUUUAAAGCAUACUUGCAUCCUACACUAACAUAUGAUGAAUGUCAAAGAGGUUUGAAACCUUUGUUGUCUCUAUUUUUCUAGAGAAUAACGAUUUUAUAGUGGUUAGUCAACUAAUUUAGAGAGUGUUACAAAAUUUUACUAAAUUAAUUUUAUCCUAUAUUUUUAUAUGCUUUUCUUCGUGCUUUAUCAGUCAACAUCGAUACACAAUUUUCGCAUGCACCUCUGUGGAAGAUUGUAAAAUACUCUCUAGUUUCUGUUGCUUUUGGCCCAUUCUGAAAAUAUUAAUAACACCAAUAGUAUCUCACUUAAUUUGUAAAGCUUCUAAUGUUACUAUUUUAAAUUAAUUUGAUCUUUAAGCAGUUAUGUUUUGUUAUCUGACACUUGGUAGAUACUCUUUUUAGGGCAAGAACUUAACACAUCUUAUUAGGUAAAAAAUUAUGGUAAAAAACACGUCUCGACUUUUCUGUUCAUCGUAUUAUUACAAGAUGUGAUGAUAAAUGUUUUUACUAGAGUUGACAAAAGCACCCGGCAUGUUUAUAUCAAUCAUAGAAUUCCACUAUCAUGAUUUACAUUCAUGUAUUCUAAUAUAAUUCUACAAGAUUAGUUACAAAUACAUAAAUGAUUAUGUCAUUCCACAGUUUUUUACCUUUUUCAGUUAAAUUUAAACUCAGUAUUUUAACCAUCUUUUGCUUCUAUUCUUCUUUUAGAAUAUGUAUAAAGAAUUAAACAAAUAUUUUAUAUUCUUUGAGAUGGCUCGAAUCCUACAUCUUAAAAUGAGUUUUCUAGGAAUUUUUACGUAGUUUUUGGUUAAGGUUAAAUAUAAGAGAUAAAGUGAGGUGGAAAUAAAAUUGUGGUAAGAGUAUAUAUAAAAUGUUAUUGGCAAAUUUCCAACAAACAAUAAAUUAUAACUAAUGCAGAUUUUGAAUUAGAAAGACGUUGCAAAUAUUAAAUUUUCGUUUUGGCAAUCUAAUCAAUGGUUAUCUCCCAGACGUCUUAUUAAAUUAGCUGAUUAUAAAGUUCUGAAAAUAAUAAAAUACACACAUUCAAUAAUACCUAAUGAUUAUUAGAAAUAAAAGUUAGAAGAAAGAAUAAAGUAGUCUCUCGCUCUCUGCACUUUAUUUUGUUCAAAAUCCGCUGCUGCUUUUACUUUGCCGUUUCAAUGAGGACUAAUAAGAAGCUCUCUCACAGAAGCAAAACAAAAGAAGCUUGACUGACUCUCUUUCUCUCUCUAUGUAAGAAAUUCACUUUUACUUUCUCCCUCUAAAAUCUGCUCUCCUCAUUGUCUUGCCUCUGUCUUCUUCAAGAAUUGGUGUCUCUUCAACACUUUCUCUUAUUUUAAAGUACCCUCUCGCUCUCCCCUCCUCUCAAGAACCAAAAAAUAAAAAAAAAGCAAAAGCCCACCAUUUUGUUCAUUGCUUUGUCCCUGUGAGAUAAAAAAGAGAGUCUAAGAAUAUAAACUCAUCUCUUAGGUUCUAUUUUCCUAGCUUACUCUUGUUGAAGUUUCUGUCCGGUCCAUAGGGAGAAAAAAAAACCACAGCUCCAGUCAAAUUUUGGCAGUGAUUCAUACAGAAGUCAAACUUUUAGGGAAACAUUUCCACAUUUUUAGCUUUGAUUAUGGAUGGGUUGAGUUUCUGUUGAAGUAGAACCACACACACACACACACACUGGUAAAAGAAGUAAAAGAAGUAAAAGGAGUAACAAUGAGAGAAGACAAAUCCAAGACAAAUAAGCUGGCCUGGUCAAUGAAGAUGGUCAGGAAAUGGUUUAAUAUAAAAAGCAAAACAGAGGAGUUUCAAGCAGAUGUUCCUGCUCCUUCUGCUGAAGUUGAAGUAGAGCACAGAAGCAGCUUCUCAGCAGAGAAAGCUCCCAGCACAAUCAAGAAGACCAAAACUGAGAAGCUCAGUAAGAACUGGGAGCAGCAAGCUCGGCAAAGGAGAAUGAACUAUGAGAAUCCUAGGAUUGUUGAUGUCCAAAACUAUAGCAUCUUUACUGCAACCUGGAACGUAGCUGGACGCUCUCCUCCUUCAGACUUAAACCUUGAUGAGUGGCUUCACUCAUCAGCUCCUGCAGAUAUAUACGUCCUAGGGUUCCAAGAGAUAGUUCCUCUUAAUGCUGGCAACGUCCUUGGAGCUGAAGACAACGGACCUGCUCAGAAAUGGCUCUCUCUUAUCCGCAAAACGCUCAACAACCGACCAGGCACCAGCGGAGCCAGCGGCUACCACACGCCUUCCCCUCUCCCUGUCCCUAUGGCAGAGCUUGACGCUGACUUCUCCGGCUCCACAAGGCAGAAGAACUCCACCUUCUUCCACAGACGCUCUUUCCAAACCCCAAGCAGUACAUGGAACGAUCCUUCAGUCUCUCAGCCAGGUCUUGACCGGCGUUUCAGCGUCUGUGACCGCGUCUUCUUCAGCCACAGGCCGAGUGAUUUUGACCCGAGUUUCCGCGGUAGCAGCAGCAGCAGCAGCAGUCACAGGCCUAGUGAUUACUCCAGAAGGCCUAGUGAUUACUCAAGAAGACCUAGUGAUUAUUCAAGACCGAGUGAUUACUCUAAUAGACCAAGUGAUUACUACUCUAGACCGAGUGAUUACUCACGGCCAAGUGACUUCUCAAGGUCUUCUGAUGAUGAUAAUGUUACUGGUGACUCUCCAAGCACUGUCUUGUACUCGCCAGGCUCUACAGCAAACGAGAACGGGUAUAGGAUGCCGUGGAACACUUCUCAGUAUUGUUUAGUUGCUAGCAAACAGAUGGUUGGUGUCUUCUUGACCAUUUGGGUGAAAAGCGAGCUAAGGGAACAUGUGAAGAACAUGAAGGUGUCUUGUGUUGGGAGAGGACUAAUGGGCUAUCUUGGGAAUAAGGGAUCAAUCUCAAUAAGCAUGUUGCUGCAUCAAACAAGCUUUUGCUUUGUUUGUACUCACUUGACUUCAGGACAGAAGGAAGGUGAUGAGCUGAAGAGAAACUCUGAUGUCAUGGAGAUACUUAAGAAAACAAGGUUUCCUCGCGUGAAGAGCUCAGAGGAUGAGAAGUCCCCUGAGAAUAUACUUCAGCAUGAUCGUGUAAUAUGGCUUGGGGAUCUGAACUACCGGAUAGCACUGACUUAUCGAUCUGCUAAAGCACUCGUUGAGAUGCAGAACUGGAGAGCUUUGCUAGAAAACGACCAGUUAAGGAUAGAGCAGAAACGAGGCCAUGUGUUCAAAGGAUGGAACGAAGGAAAAAUCUAUUUCCCACCAACGUACAAGUACUCAAGGAACUCAGAUAGAUACUCUGGAGAUGACUUGCAUCCCAAGGAGAAACGUCGCACUCCUGCUUGGUGUGAUAGGAUACUGUGGUACGGUGAAGGGUUGCAUCAGUUAUCUUAUGUAAGAGGAGAGUCAAGGUUCUCGGAUCAUAGACCGGUCUAUGGCAUUUUCUGUGCAGAGGUUGAGUCAGCUCAUAAUAAGUUAAAGAGAACAAUGAGUUGCUCCGCUUCAAGGGUCCAAGCUGAAGAGCUCUUUCCUUAUUCCCGUGGAUACACCGAGCUCAGCUUCUUCUAGAAGUAAACACACGUGACAUGAGCUGUUCAGAACUAAAGAAGUCCACAAGCAUGUGUGGUCCUGAGAUGCAAAAUAGAGUUGAGACCAGUCUAUAAUUCUCUGCAUUUAUGUGCAUAUGUGAACAAAAGUGUUUUUGGAUCUUUGAGAGUGAUGGAGACAUUCCAUUGCCUCUUUAACUCGAAGGGAACAGUUUGUAGGUGUAGAAAGUGUUUUGUAAUUUUGGCCUCGGUUAACCAAUUUUCACGUACCGGCGGUUCUGUGGUCUAUCCGGUUCAUAGUUUUGAUGGUUUUUGCUAACUCUGGUGGAUUUGCCCGAAAAUUUACAGCUACAUUAUAAGGAAAUCAACUAACUCAAUCAGAAACUGCCAAGUAGAAGUUCAUUUUUAAAAUUUUCAUUCUUUUGAGCUAGCACAAGUAAGAUAAAUUAAGUUUUAAAGUUUGGCGAGCGCUCAAAUCAAACUACAAAUCUCAAAAGUAGGUUAAAAAGUGCUUUUUUCUCUCUC